rnacentral:rRNA from 1 species
UACUCGGUCGACUCGUAGGUUGCGUGUGCGUGGGCGUGUGAAGUGUCGAGCGUGUGGCGGUGGGCCGUUUUGGUUUCGUCUUUGCCAAGGGCAUGACAAGACGAGGGGGCCAGCUCGUCUCAAAACGUCCACUGGUCCCGGAGUACGCAAGAGGGUUCGUUGGCCGCUUCGAGCAGUACGAAAAUGACAACCGUGACGACGACGAGACAUUGCCUCAACCGUUGCAGGUAACGUGUUCCUAGGUGCUCUUGUCGCAGCUAGACGUGCGCGACGAUCUGAAGUUCGUCCCGUAGUUGUUAGGAGUCCUUCGGAACUCGUUAACCUCGUGGUGGUGGGUGAAGACAGCUACCUUACCACAGUAGACGUGGUGCUGUGCCGGCAAAGCACAGAACAGCGAAUAUGAGUGACUUAACCUGAAUCGUCCGGUUUAGUCGAGGAGAGAACCUUUGAAUUGGAAGGAACUUUGCGAACUGGAAAGUAUAUUAUUGAAGCAACCAGGGAAUGGACAGGAACCGGUAGAGGUUGUUGAGGUCUGUGAAAGAGACUUGUUGUUGUCCAAUUUACCCUACUAAGGACUAAGUGAAUGGUUGACAAGGUCGAACCUGUGAAAUCUAGAGAGACAUUUGAAGGAUCACCCAGGUUAAGGAGGCUUAAACCUGAACGAAAGUUUAGAAUGAAUGAAUCUAGAGAGAUCAUUGUACGAUCACCCAGUUUAAGGAGGCUUUGAUCAAAGAGAUAGUUUCGACCAGUGUAAUCUAGAGAGGGUAUUGUACGAUCAACCAGGUUAAGGAGGCUUAGACCUGAACGAAAGUUUAGACUGAAUGAAUCUAGAUAGAUCUUUGAACGAUCACCCAGUUUAAGGAGACUUUUAUCAAAGAGAUGGUUUCGACCGGUGUAAUCUAGAGAGAUGAUUGUACGAUCACCCAGUUUAAGGAGGCUUCAAUCCGAAACAAAGUUCAGAUCUUAUGAAGUCAAACCGUAGUUUGUUUGAGCUCCCUUCGUAAGGAUUACUCGAACCCGUUAACGGAUCAAAUGUUAUGAACGAGGACCCUCUUUUAUUAGAAAGUCCACUUAAGGGCGUAAGGUAGAACUUGUCUUUGGAAAGACAAAGAGAGGAUAUAGAUCCGAACCUCGACUUAUACGAUCCGUUCCAUAACGGUGGAUUAUAUCCACUGGAAGCCCCAGAGCAUGUGGAAUGUUACUCACCGUUGUACAAACUUCCCGUGUAGGGUCGAAGGGAUCCGUUGCGGUGUCCUAAUUUUCAUUAUCUGAAUAGUCGAUUGUUAAAGUGGCCCGUUUAAGGAUUGAGAAAACCUUUCGAGAGUUUAGACUGAUUAGAUUUGGAAGUCAUAUUGGUCGAACUUUGUUCCCUGACCCUUAAGAAGUUACGUAACUGCUUGACAGCAAGAGAUUUGAGUGAGAGUGACCCAAAGUUGGUCGACGUCCCUAGAUAUGGCGUCAGACAGCCAUUGGAUAGGUUGUUUGAUCUUUUUGAAUGAAACUGAGUUUUAUCGAAUAGUCCUGUUCAUGGGGUCUCGUAGCCGUUGGAAUCACGUAAUUUAGUUGACCGUGAUCCAUAUUUGUUGAAUUCGCCGUGUUAUCUUCCUACCUAACCUUUGGAUUUUCCGGAACUUCCUAAUUGAGAGGCGAGUUUGGCGAAGUGGCCGGUUUAGGGUGGGAGAUAAUCGUUAGAAUGAGCCAACUAUUUAGAAAUAGAGAUACUAUUAGUUAAGCUCCCGGAGUAUGGGGGGUCGGACCCUUUGGAGGGUGAGUGUGUCGAUCAGGAAUCGAGAUUGUUAGAAAUGCCCAUGUAUGGUGGGUCGAAUCCUUCGGAGGUUGUCGAAUGCAGUAACUUAGAAUCGGUGUUAUUAGAGGUUCCACUCUAUGGAGUCUAAUCGCGGGAAUUCGUUGAGUGAUGAAAUCUAGAAAGAAGUUUAUUCGAGUGUCCCUCAUAAGGUCUAAGAAACCCGGUUACAAUGCCGAAUGCCUCAGACGUUUACCUGGUUUUGAAAGACAGUCCUUUGUAGGGUUAUCGGAAACCGUUUGACAACAGAGACUCAUAUGAUUUAGAUAGUGUGUUGUUGAACAGUCCGUGGUAGGGCAGCCGAGAUUUGUUUGAUCUCAAGGAUUUGGUAGAACUGGAAAGUAUAUUAGUAGAACUUCCUUUUUAUGGGUCUCUACCUCGUAAGCUUUUACGAUGCCGACAAAGUGAACUCUUGUUAACCCCCGAGACGCCUCCGCGGCACCUAGAAGUGUACCGAAGUACGUGUUGGUAAAGGUUCUUUCUUCUCCUCUCUGCUAUGGCAAACUAAUUUCAUAACUAAGGUUAUAAACCUAAGAACAGUGACCAUGACAACUAGAUGAAACAUGAGGAACUCUUCUUCUACGCUUCCCGUUUACUAUGUAGUCGAAGUAAUCCGCUCUUAAAAGACUUCCAAAGAAUACGCCUAGAUCGUGUUCGGUGUAGUUUGAAGAGACUUAGAUUGGACCAACCCUCUCCUCCAAUACCGAGACAGAUAGCGCCUUUCAAUUUCCUAAGAUUCCACCUUCACCGGCAGUUCCAAAAACUAGAACUUUACGUACCUCGACUCUCUUCGAAAGACUUUCUUACGCUCCGUGACGCUUCGUAAGUCGUAUCUUUAGAAGAAGGGUAGUAUUGACGAACGAGCUGCCAUCUGUUAUGUCCGUUACAAAAGUUUCGAAAUCAAAUACUCAAGUACGGAUUACCCUUGGAUCUGUGUACCGACGUAGUGUCUCUCCUGCCCUUCCGAGUAUUUGUAAAUUCGAAUCGAGUUUCUAAUCUGUAUCGACAAUUGUACCGACUGCGUGACCUAAUAGAUGUGGUACUGACGCCUUCUGGGUGGUAGGUAACACUGGACUUCGGGUCGUUGUAAGAAGACCUACUACUAUACUGGCGAGAAAAUCCUCUGAAACCAUAACGUUCAAAAAUGGUUCUAAGGUCCAGUUGUAGUGGACCAAGUCACUCAAGUAGUAGUCAGCCAUACUUCCCAUGAUAACCUAUAUAACCAGGUCUCAUGCGCCCUCCACCGGCGGUACGUAGUUGAACGCCUCUACAAAUGCCAAAACCCUAUUAUGACGACCUUUACUACUGGCCUUUUUCUGGUUGUCUAGGUAACAAGUUCCUACCUCAAUCGUAACAGCUGAAACACCUCUCGUUGAAAGGUGUACUUUAUCAAGCACAGUAACUACGAUUAGAGUCACUUCUUACGUUCCUGUAACGAGUUAGUUUCUUCUAAAGUCUUUUAAGUCAAGUAGUUACAAACGAUAGACACGACGUUGAUCGUGAAAGGACAUGCGUGGGUCAUGGUCCGCUUUCUUACUUAUACUUUCACCACCGGUCGUUUUACGUACGUUAAUUUUGUAGGAUACCCCCGACGUUACGCGUUCUCACUUCUCACAGGAAGUGAUCUUAAUCUCACUGACGCUUGCACGAUACAUUCACAUUGUAACAUUGGUCGUAUUACUUAGACAUCACAUGUGAAUGUACACACAUGCAUAUAUAUAAAUUAUAUAAAACACAUGAGGAGCCUCAUAUACAUGCGGAUAUAAAUUAUGGUCUUGCCAGUUCGGUACCUGUCUGCGACCCCGUUAGUCUCCUUAUGGUCUUGCCAGUUCGGUACCUGUCUGGUCUCUACUUUCCUGCUCUACUAAAGAACCUUCCUCUCCUGGUCCUCCUUCUCUUUCUCUACCUUGAACGAUUCCAGUUAGACCUCCUCCGGCCACACAAGGUCCUGGUUCACAAGCUGUUAUUCUUGCACGUCUUCGUACAACUCCUCCACCUGCUACUCCUGGAGUACCUUCCAUACCUCCGUUGGCUGGGUCCCCGGCGGCCAGUUGACUGCCCCGGUUCACACCGCGGGGCAGUCCUCGUUACUUAAGGUAUCACACCUUGACGGCACCACGCCCCUUGCGGAGCUGUCAAGCGCUGUAGCACCGAGACUGAGCUCGGGUAAGGGGUUCAUACCAAAAGAAUACACUUUGAUCUGUCGUUUUCCUAUUCUACAUAGCAGAAGCAUUGUCUUAACCAGAUGCACCGAAACUUCCUCAAUCAUCACUCCCAUUAUCACCUCCAGAUCGGAACAAAACCCUACUCAGGAACAUGCAACUAUACAAGCCAACGGACGACUACUAGUUCACACGUCUUAAUGGAAAUGUAUACCCCUCGGCUCUUGUCUCUUAUCUGUAAACUACACCCUCCCCUACUUUUCUAAUUUCCGAGUACUACUAAAUGGUACCGACCACCAUCCACUGAAGUUACUUCAUAACACCCUAAUACUUGUAGACAGCCUUUGUGGAUCUAGUGUACCCGUCUACUAACGGAAGGCUCUACAUGAUCUUCGAACACUAAAUAGACUAAACCCGAAAAGGCCCAUGGGAAAGUGAAUACUGUUAUUCGCAUCGCCGUCUCGUUUACAAGUCCAUUCCGAACUAUCCCGCUGGCGACUAGUGUUCACCUCUAAGUUCAAGGGCCUCCGCAGCCAGUUCGUGAACCAUAGGAGGACGAGUCUGGUAGAGGGUGAGAACCACGCAACACACGGCCUCAGGCCUCCCUCCUGAUCCAUGCACGCCGCCAUACUCCACUACACCCUUUCUCUCCGACGGAACCUACUCCACUAACGUGUUCGAACCGUACUCCCACCAUGAUUCGUACCCAACGUCCUAUAAUUCAAUCGUGACCUGUUUCACUACCUUUUCAACGUAUUCACCUCAGUAUUCUUCAAACCUUUAGACUCAUUUCUCUAACUUUUUAGUUCCAGGUCCGAACUCCUCGAAUACGUAUACUUACGUCUGGCGUCACUCUAUGUGUUCCUCAGACUAGUAGAUCUCCUUAACAACAUGUCUCUCCUUUACAAUACCUCUGUCUCUAGAGCGUAACUAACUGAAUUUCUCCCUCUGGCGUUAUGGGUUAAAAAAGUAUCCGCUCGACACACCUCUCAAUCUUUUUUGUUAUAUUUUUCCGAACACCUAUCGAGGCCCCACCACGUAUGUCUAGUCUUAAAUACCUUCCAUACCGGGACCUGAUAAAAGUUUUGGAGAAAUGUCGACUACGGAGAGAUUUACGUCUAUUACGCCACGGGAACAAACGAGCUCGAUAGUGACUACUCUACUUACUUGCUGAAACGAGAUGGAAGUGACUAUUCCUCUAUCCACUACGAUACAAAGUCUAACCCGGAGAUUUCCGUGGCCCAGGCCUGCCAAAAGGUCGAACUAAAAAAGUCUUUGUGACCCGAUAAUACUUCCUCCUACAAUAGAGUCGACACGCCAAUAAGAAACUCAGCCCUGUGUACGGUCUCCCCCACUUAUACUGUUGGUAUCACGACUAAGGUUUCUAACUACUUGGUUCAUUCAACAGUCUAAAGGCAGGGUAUUCAGAUACGUUGCACUAAAUAUUCCACUAACGUUUCACAGACCAGUUGUCCAACUCCGGGGACGAACCACUCGAUUAAAGUGGUCUCGUCUCACGGAAACAGGGUCCAUCUGAGUAAUGUCUAUUACGCAAGUAACGAAAGCUCACAUGAGUAAAAUAAGCCGUACUCUUUUUGGGCCUGUUUUAAAAAACACGGAUAUUCGACCUGAACAGGUUCCGCAUACUGGCCCACCUAACCUAAAAGGACCUCGCUCACUACGUUGUCAACCCAAAGCUAGUAGCUACCCACUUUACCUAUUACAGUACACAGUGGAGCCACUCUAUGUGACAGUUUUAAUUACCUCGGAUGAGCCUAAGUAAACGUGGCAGCGCUCCCGAUGCCGUCCCUCUAGGAAAUAGUGGUAAGAAUAAAAACAAAUAACACCUGCCGGAUCGUCGUGACGAAUUCCUCUUCCUCUCCCUCAGAGUAUAAUGCGGAGACUUUCACACGGGCGCCCGUGGUCCCUAAAGGGUAGAGGAAAAACGCCUGUUAUGAGAGGAUAAAAAAGCACGAUGUCUUGCUCUUCGUAACGUCCAAUUUCCACAAGACCUAUACAAACGAUCACGUUGUACCGUUGAAUAAUUAGAUGUCUUCACGAGUUAAAACAGACCCCUUGUGACGGCUGUCCCUCUAUUUCUUCUACACUAGGCACAGGAACUACAAGUCUUACAAUCGAAACUCCUCUUUAUAAAUCGGGAGGGGUGUGGAUACCCCGCGUACAGGUUCCCUGCCAAGCUCUUGUAGGUUGUCUUCAAAUGAUUCUCUAAACAAUGUACCACGCUCAGUUACCGCGUCUCACCUUUUCUUCAAGAAUAGUUUAGGUAACGAGUUCGGGACGGUUGAAUAAACUACUCACAUAAGUCCGAAGGUCUUAGUUGUACGCUACUGGAGUGUACCUACCAAGCCUUAAAAACCACCCCUCGCCUUUUCCCUUCUGCCUUUUGCGUGACCGCUCGUACCCUCUUUGACUAAGUUGGGUUCAGUGUGCCACCUUACCCUAAGUCCCUCAAGACCGACAAGUUAGUUCGAAACGAUCGUGCAGUCCGUACCGCAUAAGACUUAAAGGGCCUGUCAGAUACGAGAGUUCAUAACUUCCGGUUCAUGAAAGGUAGCCCAUUAGAACUCCUGUGCCACAAGGGAUCAUCAUGAAGUGUUUGCACCGUUAGCUAUCACGUACCUGACCUUGAAUAUUUUGCACCAUAGUAGACCUCUCAACCGUUGCCUGUCAGGUAUGCAUAUACCUCUCUAGCUACCUAUGGUUAAAUACCAUUUGGUUAGUGCUUUGUCCCUGCAACGUCCAACUCCGCUCAAAGACUCGAAGACCUACUCUCUCCACUAACCGCGGAACUGGAGGAGGUAGUUAUAAAAAAUGGACGUCUAUAAUUAGUCUAUUAGUUUUAAGCGUGAAGCGGAGCCGAACCACGCCUACAGGACCGUACCCUUGGUCUUGCCUUACCAUAAAAGAGACAGGCCUCGCGCAUAGCCGACCGAGAGCUACUAGCAGAAGCAGUUAGAAGUUAGCGCCGCUCGUCCCGUGGCCUACCCGCUGCUCGGUAGACCCGAAAUAAUACCUCCACGGGACGAAGAGGCUUCCACGCACACAAAUGCACCGCACACCGAUGACUAACAAAUGGGUGAACCUGAUUAUUCGUGAUAACAUUUGAACUUCAGAGAUUAGACACGGGUAACACACGAUAGCUUGGCCUCCUGUGUAACGUACGAGAUACAUCUACGGGUGGUCGUCAGCUCGACACCGCUCUUUACCGUUUUGUUACCCUGUAAGGUCUGCAGGCCUCCGAUCACUUGUGUCCCUGCCUAACCGAGGAGGUCCACAACCGCCUCGACAGUCUCCUUCCCGCGAACACAUGCGACUACUGUGAUACCUCUACGACCGUACACGCGUUACUCUAGCAGGUGUUGUUUGCAGGCGGUGGGUAGUUCCACAGCUGGGCCAAAGAGAGAUCAAUGUAAUGGAGGGACGAUCAGCAUGUUCGGUCGGGAGUACGACUAGUACAGUUUCCAUUUUACCCUCGGCUAGUUGAUUCGUUCUUGUCGGGCAAUAAUGUACACGCGACCCUCGCCUUCUUCGAACGGACCCUCGGAGGCGGCUACCCGACCCACCGCAACUCGUAACUACCAAGAAAAAGCCUUCACCUGUUGUGUCGUCCUCGACCGUACCACGAAUCGUCGCCGCUUAGAUCUUUCUUUUACUUCCCACCCGAGUUUCAAAUGCGGUUCUUUUGAUUUGCGAUGAGACUUCUUUUUUCUACUAAUAGAGGUUUAGGUAGACAGGUUCAUUCGAGUUUGCAAGGGUCUAAUGAUGAUCCUUGUGCAUGAUAAAUUGACUUAAAAAGUCCAAAAAACUUUUUAUACUUAAAAACUUGUUUUUGAACUUAGACAAAUCGUUUUUAUCGGUAAUAGAGUAUUAGGCCAGCAGUUUUAUUCGAGUUUGAAAGGGUCUAAUGAUGAACCUUGUACAUGAUAAAUUGACUUAAAAAAAAGUCUAAAAAACUUUUUAUAGUUACAAAGUUCUUUUUGAACUUAGACAAAUCGUUUUUAUCGGGAAUAGAGUAUUAGGUCAGUAGGUUUAUACGAGUGUGAAAGGGUCUAGGUAUCUAGUUCACGUCGAGUGUGGGUAUUUGAUCAUCGUACUAACUAUUUCAAAGUAUGUCAAGUGUGUGGGUAUCUAGUUCAUGAUCUCUUCGUUGUUUUUUUUCUGUUUUUGUUACUAUAACCACAACGCACAACGAAGAAUCGACUAUGAUCAUCAACGUCUUGUGGAGGUGUGGUUUUAGCUUCUCUGUUUGAUGUUCGGUAGACAGGUUUACUCGUCUUGAUAAUCACUAUAUCAUUCCGUAGGAGUUCACUGAUAGUCGUGAUCAUCUUUUUGUCUCCGUAUGGAGAUUCUUUAGUGUAAUAUGAGUCCUCCGUUUACAUGAAAAGCUAGAAAGACCUUAGCAUAGUAUUAAACUAGUAGCCCUUAUGAAGACUUAUAGGAAAAGAGUGUUAUCGUUUGGUAAUUUAGUAAUUCGGUUAGUAGACUAUUGAAUAACGCGUUUAGUCAAAACUACUAGAAGUAACGACUUUUAUAGGAGAGCUG